UGCAAUUGUUGCCAUAUUGCUUAUUCAAUCAUUUCUGAUGCACAGAAGUGUUUAGGCCAGGGUGUAGGAUUUAGGGGUCAAUUUGGAAUUAGGAAUCAAAUGUAGAUCAGGGGCUAACAGCUGUCCUUAAUUAGCCAAUGCCAUUAGAAGGGUCUGGGAUUUGUUUAAAAGGAGCAACCAAAAAAGCCUGCCAGAUACAUCAUAAGGAAUAUUAUGCUAGGGCUUAUACCAGCCAUUAUUUCUGAUUACUGGGGAGCUUUUGAGGCGCAAAAUGGCCGUGAUGAUUGGAAUCGCUUUCAGAGUUUCUUGGCUUUGUUGCCUGCUAAUUGGCGGGAUAACCUGUUCUACAUCAAGUGAUGGGUAUCCUGCACCAGGUUCUGAUGCAGCAUGGCUCUAUACAGGCCCACUUAGGUCUAAAGGAUAUGGUAAUUACAACUCUCCAACAGCUCAAUUGCAAGCGCAGCUGACCGAAGAGCAACAGAAACCUCUGGGAGCCAUCCUGCAAAAGCAACUGGCCCCCAUGCCCCAGGCACCUCAGAAAAUGUGGUGUCCAACUCAAAUGCCCCAGCAGGAAAAGCAACCGGCCGCCAUGACCCAACAGCAGACGCUAUCGGCCUUUUAUCCUAAGCAGCUUCAAUCAAUGUUGUAUCCAGCUCAAAUGCCCCAGAAGCAACCAGUUACUGAACUUCAGCUUCAGAAGGAACAGGCCUCCAUACCCCAGCUACCUCAGCAAGUGUGGUAUCCAGUUCAAAUUCCUCAGCAGCAAAAGCAACCAGCUACUGGUCCUCAGCAGCAGACGGAACUGACCACCAUGUCCCAGAAGCAACCGGCUCCAAUGCCUAUACCGCAGAAACAACCAACAGCUAUGCCCCAGAAAGCAUGGUAUCCAGCUCAAAUGCAGCAGAAGCAACCGGCCACCAUGCACCAGCAAGUGUGGCAUCCAGCUCAAUUGCCCCAGCAGCAAAAGCAACUGGCUACUGAACCUCAGCAGCAGAAGAUCCCGGCCUCCAUAACCCAGCAACCUCAGCAAGUGUUGCAUCCAGCUCAAAUGCUGCUGAAGCAACUGACUGCCAUGCCCCAGCAAGUGUGGUAUCCAGCUAAGCCCCAGAAGCAACUGGCCGCUGAUCCUCAGGAGCAGAUUGAACUGACCGCCAUGCCCCAGCAACCAUGGUAUCCAGCUCAAAAGCCCCAGCUGCAGAAGCAACCGGCUACUGAACCUCAGCAGCAGAAGGAACCGGCCUCCAUAACCCAGCAACCUCAGCAAGUGUUGCAUCCAGCUCAAAUGCUGCUGAAGCAACUGACUGCCAUGCCCCAGCAAGUGUGGCAUCCAGCUCAAAUGCCCCAGAAGCAACAAACCGCUGAACCUCAGUGGCAUCCAGCCAAAUUUCCCCAGGAGCAACCAGUCCCUAUGCGUCACCUGCAGAAGGAACUGACCGCCAUUCCACCACUGAGGCAAUCCGCUCAAAUUCCCCAGCAGCAUAAGCAACCGGCUGCCAAGCAUCAGCAAUUGUGGCAACUGGCCCCCAUUCCCCAGCAGCCUCAUGACGUGUGGUAUCCAGCUAAAAUGGUCCAGAAGCAACAAGCAGCUGCAACUCGGCGGCAGAAGGAACUGACCACCAUGCCUCAAGAGUGGCAUCCAGCUCAAUUUCCCCAGCAGCAGAAGCAACCAGCCCUAAUGCUUUUACCGCAGAAGGAACUGACCGCCAUACACCAGCAACCUCAGCAAGUGUGGUAUCCAGCUCAAAUGCCCCAGAACCAACCAACCACUGAACCCCAGCAGCAGAAGCAACCGGCUGCUGAACCUCAGCAGCAGAAGGAACCGGCCACCAUGCCCCAGCAACCAUGGUAUCCAGCUCAAAAGCCCCAGCUGCAGAAGCAACCGGCCGCUGAACCUCNNNNNNNNNNCACCUGCAGAAGGAACUGA
rnacentral:lncRNA from 13 species